UGGGAUGACGUCAAUCAUCAUGCCCCUUAUGUCUUGGGCUUCACGCAUGCUACAAUGGCCGGUACAAAGGGCUGCGAUACCGCGAGGUGGAGCCGAAAUCCCAGAAAGCCGGUCUCAGUUCGGAUUGGGGUCUGCAACUCGACCCCAUGAAGUCGGAGUCGCUAGUAAUCGCAGAUCAGCAACGCUGCGGUGAAUACGUUCCCGGGCCUU
rnacentral:rRNA from 1 species